AUUUCAUUUCAUUUUAUUGUUAACUUAUCGGGUACAGUUUGUUACAUAAUGUUCUAUGAUUGAGUUAUGGAGUUCCUUUCAGCAAUCUCUUGCAAAAGAGGAUUUUCGGACGAUGAACAACUUUGAUGGAAUUUGGUCAUCAAUCUCUGGAACCAGUCGUCGAUACGUUCAAUUCCUGCAGUUCUAUGAACAGCAUCGGUCGGAUGGAAGGGGCUUAGGUCCAGAAUCAUCUUGAGCAAACGAUUUUGCUUAACUUGUAUUUUGCUGCGAUGUGAACGGGCGCAAUUAAACCAAGCAGGAAACCCAUAUGCAACCGUAGGCCGGAAAACGGUUUUGUACAAUAA